AAAAGACUUAGUCCUAACCUUAUUAUUGGUUACUGCUAGACAUAUACAUGCAAGCAUCCGCACUCCAGUGAAAAUGCCCUCAAACCCUUCCCUCACCCUCAAGGCAAAAGGAGCAGGUAUCAGGCACACCCAAGCAGUAGCCCAAGACGCCUUGCCCAGCCACACCCCCACGGGUAUUCAGCAGUAAUUAACAUUAAGCAAUAAGUGCAAACUUGACUUAGCCAUAGCAAUUCACAGGGUUGGUAAAUCUUGUGCCAGCCACCGCGGUCAUACAAGAAACCCGAAUCAAUAAUCAUCGGCGUAAAGAGUGACUAUACGUUAUCAUCAUUAACUAAGAUCAAAAUGUAACUAAGCUGUCAUAAGCCUAAGAUCCACCAAAGCUCAACCUGACAUCUUAGAUUCAACGAUUAACUUUAACCCACGAAAGCUAGGACACAAACUGGGAUUAGAUACCCCACUAUGCCUAGCCCUAAAUCCAGAUACCCACCCACACUAAAGUAUCCGCCCGAGAACUACGAGCACAAACGCUUAAAACUCUAAGGACUUGGCGGUGCCCCAAACCCACCUAGAGGAGCCUGUUCUAUAACCGAUAACCCACGAUCCACCCAACCACCCCUUGCCAACACAGCCUACAUACCGCCGUCGCCAGCCCACCUCCCAUGAGAGAAUAACAGUGCGCUCAAUAGUCCCCCCCCACUAACAAGACAGGUCAAGGUAUAGCCUAUGGGGUGGUAGAAAUGGGCUACAUUCUCUACUAUAGAGCAUCAACGAAAAAGGACAUGAAAACCCGUCCUUGGAAGGAGGAUUUAGCAGUAAAGUAGGAUCAUUUCCAGCCUACUUUAAGCUGGCUCUGGGGCACGUACAUACCGCCCGUCACCCUCUUCACAAGCCACUACUAUCUAUAAAUAAUAAGCCCACCCACCAAGGCCAAAGACGAGGUAAGUCGUAACAAGGUAAGUGUACCGGAAGGUGCAGGUUAGACUAC
rnacentral:ncRNA from 1 species